rnacentral:tRNA from 1 species
GGUUCCGUAGUGUAGCCGUUAACACCCUCGACUUUAAAUCCAGUAACGUGAGUUCAAAUCUCACCUGAACCC